rnacentral:rRNA from 1 species
AAGACCCUAUGGAGCUUUAGACGUCAGAGCAGCCCAUGUAAAGCACCCCUUAACAAAGGAAAAAACCAAAUGAAGCCUGCCCUAAUGUCUUUGGUUGGGGCGACCGCGGGGAAAUACAAAACCCCCAUGUGGAGUAGGAAUACACAUUCCUAAACCCAAGAGCUCCCGCUCUAAUGAACAGAAAUUCUGACCAAUAAGAUCCGGCACACGCCGAUCAACGGACCGAGUUACCCUAGGGAUAACAGCGCAAUCCCCUUAAA